CUAGCUUGCUAGGUGGAUUAGUGGCGCACGGGUGAGUAACGCAUAGAUGACAUGCCCUUUAGUUUGGGAUAGCCACUAGAAAUGGUGAUUAAUACCAAAUACUACCCUACGGGGGAAAGAUUUAUCGCUAAAGGAUUGGUCUAUGUCCUAUCAGCUUGUUGGUGAGGUAAAGGCUCACCAAGGCGAUGACGGGUAUCCGGCCUGAGAGGGUGAACGGACACACUGGAACUGAGACACGGUCCAGACUCCUACGGGAGGCAGCAGUAGGGAAUAUUGCUCAAUGGGCGCAAGCCUGAAGCAGCAACGCCGCGUGGAGGAUGAAGGUUUUAGGAUUGUAAACUCCUUUUGUCAGAGAAGAUAAUGACGGUAUCUCACGAAUAAGCACA
rnacentral:rRNA from 1 species